AUGCGGGGGGCCGCGCGGCUGUUGGUGCCAGCAGCCCCUCGGCCAGCGCGGCGCGCACGGCAUCGUGCUCCGCCAGCAGGCCUUGCAACGCGCGGAUGUACUCCACGGCUGAGCGCAGUGUCUCCACCUUACUCAGCUUCUUGCUGGCGCCGCCGUGCGGCACGUGCUGCCGCAGCGCCUGGAACCCCAAGUUCACCAGCUUCACGCGGUUGCGCUCGCGCUCGUUGCGCCGCGCCACAGCCGCCGCGCCGCCCCCGGUCUCCGAUGCGCCCGGCCGUCGCCGCCGGCUGCAGCGCAGCAGUGGUGGGGAUGUGGGUCGCCGCCGAGCGGCGCAGCCGCCGGAGACACCAGGCACGGGGGGCGCGGGCCGGAGCGGUGCGCCGCUGUCCAUCGCGCCCGCAUCCACUCGCCGCGCGAUUCCUCCGAGUCCCCGCGCGCAGCAGGUGGGGCGGACAGAGGAACGGGAGUCGGUGGGAGGACGAUACAACCCCGAGAGGGCCCCGGGCGUUGUGCCGCGGAGCGAUUCGCCAAGGUCACUCGGGAGCCAGGAGGCUUCUGGAAUCCGGCUGCAGGGGAAGUGGGAGCUGUGGGAAAUGAAAUACAUCCAGACGCUCAAGCUUCGGGUCCACUGAUGCACCAUCAGGGCUCUCCAGAGACACAGCGGUAGGAGUCACAGACUGACUCACGUGCUCAGGAAGCCCGGGAUGCCCCACCGUCUGCCGUCCGCAGGCCGGGGGCCCGGGAAGGCUGGUGCGGUGGUUCAGUCCGAGCCCGAAGGCCGGAGAACCAGGGAGCCGGCCGUGAGAGUCCCAGUGUGAGGGCCGGAGGAGACGAGAGGAGACGUCCCAGCUCAAGGGGGGAGGCGGGCAAAGGGGCAACUUCCUCCUUCCUCCGCCUUCUGGUCUGCCCAGGCCUCGAGGGGAACCCGGUGAGGUCCCCCUGCACUGGGGAAGGCUGUCUGUGGUCCUGAGUCCACGGAUGCCAGCUCGUGUGUCCAGAGACGCCCUCCGGAUGCCCCCAGAAGUGAUGUCCAGUCCGGGCCCCCUGCAGCCGGUCGCCCUGACGCACAACACUAACGUCUUACCAACCUGGCACCUGUACCAUUUCUUUAAGCCACACUGAAUGUGCGAAUAAAGACACUGACGAGCUCA
rnacentral:lncRNA from 1 species